rnacentral:rRNA from 1 species
UUCCUACGGGGGGCAGCAGUGGGGAAUAUUGCACAAUGGGGGAAACCCUGAUGCAGCAACGCCGCGUGAGUGAAGAAGUAUUUCGGUAUGUAAAGCUCUAUCAGCAGGGAAGAAAAUGACGGUACCUGAGUAAGAAGCCCCGGCUAACCACGUGCCAGCAGCCGCGGUAAUACGUAGGGGGCAAGCGUUAUCCGGAUUUACUGGGUGUAAAGGGAGCGUAGACGGUAUGGCAAGUCUGAUGUGAAAACCCGGGGCUCAACCCCGGGACUGCAUUGGAACCUGCCGAACUAGAGCGUCGGAGAGGC